UACGACCACAUCACGUUGAAACACCUGUUCCCAUAUAAUCACCGAAGUUAAGUAACGUUGAACCUGGUCAGUACCUAGAUGGGUAACCGCUUCGGGAUAUCAGAUGCUGUAGG